rnacentral:misc_RNA from 1 species
GAUGAAGAACGUAGCGAAAUGCGAUAAGUAAUGUGAAUUGCAGAAUUCAGUGAAUCAUCGAAUCUUUGAACGCACCUUGCGCUCCUUGGUAUUCCGAGGAGCAUGCCUGUUUGAGUGUCAUGAAAUUCUCAACCUUUUCAGCUUUCUUUGUUGAUCAGGCUUGGAUGUGGGAGUAUGCGGGCUUCUCAGAAGUCGGUUCUCCUGAAAUGCAUUAGCGGGACCUUUGUUGCCUGGCUUUGGUGUGAUAAUUAUCUACGCCAUUGUGGUCAAGCAGCUUAAAAUGAGGUUUCAGCUUCUAACCGUCUCCCCUGAGACAACUUUUUGACAAUUUGACCUCAAAUCAGGUAGGACUACCCGCUGAACUUAAGCAUAUCAAUAAGCGGAGGA